AGGACAAUCUCCAGCAUGGCCUGGGCUCCUCUCCUCCUCACGGUCCUGGCUCACUCCACAGGAUGCUGGGCCCAGUCUGUGCUGACUCAGCCGCCCUCAGUGUCUGGGAACCCUGGGCAGAGGAUCACCAUCUCCUGUUCUGGAAGCAGCUCCAACAUCGGGGGGUAUACUGUGCAAUGGUACCAGCAGCUCCCAGGAAUGGCCCCCAAGCUUCUCAUCUAUGGUAAUAAUCAGCGACCCUCAGGGGUUUCUGACCGAUUCUCUGGCUCCAAGUCUGGCACCUCCGCCUCCCUGGCCAUCACUGGACUCCAGUCUGCGGAUGAGGCUGAUUAUUAUUGCCAGUCAUAUGACAGCAACCUGAAUGCUCACACAGUGUUCCAGACCCAAGGGGAAGUGAGACAAGAACCCCCCCUUCUCUUCUGCCAAGAGGGUGAGCGCUCAACAGCUGCUGGUCAGUCAUGGCCUGUGGCUUCUGCUGCUGCUGCUUCCCCCAUGGUCCAGGGCAUUGAGGGCCCUGCAUGAGAGUAGAAGGUUUCUUGUGUUCUGAGAAUCAGACACAGCACCUCCUUCCCAGGAACACCGCCUCCAGGAAACAAAACAUUCUGUUCCCUGUACCUUGGGACACGGUGUCUGCACUGAAGUCCCGGGAUGAGGUUGCUGUUCCAGCUGUGUCACCUCAGACCCACCUCUUAGGCAGAACCUGUGUCUCCAUCAUGCUCAUUUCCUGAUUUCUAGAAAUUGCCAGACUGGUGGCUUUCUCUCCCUUCCCCUCAGGGGGAAUCCUUUGCUUCUUUCCUCACCAGCCUAUUGUUUUUAAUAAAAUUCUUUCCAAGAACAAAUA